rnacentral:misc_RNA from 1 species
GAUGAAGAACGUAGUGAAAUGCGAUAAGUAAUGUGAAUUGCAGAAUUCAGUGAAUCAUCGAAUCUUUGAUCGCACAUUGCGCCCCCCAGUAUUCUGGCGGGCAUGCCUGUUCGAGCGUCAUUUCAACCAUCAAGCCCUGCUUGUGUUGGGGUCCUGCGGCUGCCCGCAGGCCCUGAAAACCAGUGGCGGGCUCGCUAGUCACACCGAGCGCAGUAGCACAUCUCGCUCAGGGCGUGCGGCGGGCUCCAGCCGUUAAAGCACCCACCUUUCGCAAGGUUGACCUCGGAUCAGGUAGGAAUACCCGCUGAACUUAAGCAUAUCAAUAAGCGGAGGA